UACGUAGGGGGCAAGCGUUGUCCGGAUUUACUGGGCGUAAAGCGCGUGUAGGCGGCCACGCAGGUCCGUUGUGAAAACUGGAGGCUCAACCUCCAGACGUCGACGGAAACCGUGCGGCUAGAGUCCGGAAGAGGAGAGUGGAAUUCCUGGUGUAGCGGUGAAAUGCGCAGAUAUCAGGAAGAACACCAAUGGCGAAGGCAGCUCUCUGGGACGGUACUGACGCUGAGACGCGAAAGCGUGGGGAGCGAACAGG
rnacentral:rRNA from 1 species